UGGGGAGCCGAGACUCAGAUGCCACUAGCUGGCGCUGACAUCUCGCCCUCAAAACUUAAACCUCCAGGGUGCAUGCGUAGAUGCGUAUACACGCUAAAGAUUGCGUGAGCACGCUAAGGAUUGCGUAGGCACGCCGGUAAGAGUGAGCAGCCAACCAGGGUAUUGACACGUCACAAGGCCGCUAGCAUAAUGGUCCUAGUCAUCAGGCGGGGUAAAAGUAAGCAGCCAGUCAGGGUAUUCACACGUCACUCAGGUGCGACCCGGGCUUAUAUAAACAGCGCUACUCCGGGGCCCGCCCCUUCCUUCGAUCUCUUCCUUCCCCGUUUCCCCGCCCGGGGCCGCGGCCCUCGGGAAGCCGCCCGCGCCCACGAGGUGGCCGGGCGGCCUCUCUCUCCCCUCUUCAUCGCGUGACUAAUAAAGUUUACUGCGGAAGGAUUCCUGUGGUCGCGUGCGUUUCUGCCGGCGAAACAUUCACGCGGCGGCUCCCAACAUCUGGUGCUGAAACCCCGGAACAUUGCUGGGAAGAAAACAAUCCAUUCUGGGUACCGGAGCGCCUCACGCAAAAGCUCGUGACUGCUGAAGAUGAUCUUCCAACAAACACACCUGCUACUGCUGAAAGAAUCAAGGACAGCGAGGAGGACCACUAAUUCUACUCGAGUGGAUUCAUUGCCCACAGACUGGCUUUACCCUGGGUUUCUUCUGCCUUUUCUUACUUCAGAUUGGGUGGGGGUCGGAAUGUUUGGUGUAGCAUUGUGUCGUGGCUUAGUGUUUUUUACUCUGGUUGUUCUGCAAACUCUAUACCCAAAACAAACGUGACUAGGUCGCAAUCGCGCAAGCACUAGCACCCUUGGAACAAGGAUCGUCUCCCAAAAAUUUGGUUAUCCGUGUUAAAAAAUUAAAACAGACUGUGACACUCAGUCGAUGCACCUCAGGGGUUUCACCCAUUGCACUGAGUCGAUGAGUGAUCCAGGUUAAUGUUGCCUUUGCCUAAACGGUUAUGGUACCUAGACAGGAGGGUGACAGCUCUUGCACUCCCUGGAAUUUUAUUCCAUUGCACGGGAAUGAGUGUCACCUCCUUUUAAAAAUCUUCUCCCCUAGCCCCUGCACCCAGAGGACUUGUUUCCAUUGCACCUGGUGGGGUAAGGGAGUAAUCUAAAGCUUUUGAUCGCUUACUCCCCAAAGAAGGAGUUUGCUUGAUCGAGCUUAGGGCCCUCUUGUACCGUGCUUAUAGGCUUUUAGGCAGUUUUCAUUUAUUUAUUUAUAACAAAAAGGGAGAUGUGGGGAGCCGAGACUCAGAUGCCACUAGCUGGCGCUGACAUCUCGCCCUCAAAACUUAAACCUCCAGGGUGCAUGCGUAGAUGCGUAUACACGCUAAAGAUUGCGUGAGCACGCUAAGGAUUGCGUAGGCACGCCGGUAAGAGUGAGCAGCCAACCAGGGUAUUGACACGUCACAAGGCCGCUAGCAUAAUGGUCCUAGUCAUCAGGCGGGGUAAAAGUAAGCAGCCAGUCAGGGUAUUCACACGUCACUCAGGUGCGACCCGGGCUUAUAUAAACAGCGCUACUCCGGGGCCCGCCCCUUCCUUCGAUCUCUUCCUUCCCCGUUUCCCCGCCCGGGGCCGCGGCCCUCGGGAAGCCGCCCGCGCCCACGAGGUGGCCGGGCGGCCUCUCUCUCCCCUCUUCAUCGCGUGACUAAUAAAGUUUACUGCGGAAGGAU